rnacentral:rRNA from 1 species
AUUGAACGCUGGCGGCAGGCCUAAUACAUGCAAGUCGAACGAGUGGCGGACGGGUGAGUAAUGUCUGGGAAACUGCCUGAUGGAGGGGGACAACUACUGGAAACGGUAGCUAAUACCGCAUACCUUCGGAUGUGCACAGAUGGGCUUAGCUAGUAGGUGGGGUAAAGGCUCACCUAGGCGACGAUCCCUAGCCGGUCCGAGGGGAUGACCAGCAACACUGGAAUUAGGACACGGUCCAGACUCCUACGGGAGGCAGAAGUGGGAAAUAUUGCACAAUGGGCGCAAGCCUGAUGCGGCCAUGCCGGGUGUAUGAAGAAGUCCUUCGGGUUGUAAAGUACUUUCAGCGGGGAGGCGUUACCCACAGAAGAAGCACCGGCUAACUCCGUGCCAGCCGCCGCGGUAAUAC